UUUUUUUCCAAUUAUUUUUUAAAAGUCAGGUCAAGGCUCCAAAAGCCCAAAGGCGAUAUAUAACAGUUUUUGUUUGCUACAUGGAUCAUUUUAGUUCAGCUGGGUGUCUUUCCUUUUGUUAUAUUUUUUUAAGAGUUCAAAAUGUGUUAAUUACAUAAAUAAAAUGUCAUUUUCUCUGUAGCACUUCAUGGAUUUCAUAAGAAACACACCUUGUUUGUUCACACAAAGCAUAAAGGUAAAAAACAAUAUAUACAGUGUUAUCUUCAUUUUAGAUGUGAAAAAGUAUUUGCGGCUCCCAGUGUUUUCUUUUGCGUGGAAACCGGGUCCAAAUGGCUCUUUGGGUGUUAUAGGUUGCUGACCCCUGGUCUAAGGCGUAUUUCUGGGAUUUCACACAACCCAGGAUUCAAAUCAUGAAUACAUAAUGGGCUUGGAUUUACAUCAUUAUGAAUGAAAUGCGCUCUAUUUGGAAGCAGCCGCCCCCCCUCCCCUUUCGACGGCUUGUGUGUGAGACUUUAAAUCAUCAAACUGUAAAUUUUAAAUUGUUAUUGAUCCCUUUACCCCGAGUCCUAAAGUGUAUAUUUAUUUUCUUUCUCUUCUUAUAUUUAUUGUUUGUUUACUUGCACUGCUGUAACUGGAGCCUCGUGGUCUCGUCUCUCUAUAUACUGGACUGUAUGUAGCGGAGAUGACAAUAAAGUUUACUUUGACUUCAGCAGUGAGCAGGCGCACCGAGGGCUCUCGAGAAUUUCGAAAAAACAUCGGUGCAAAUUAUAAGUCUGUAUCAUAAUGUCCGCUGUUUUAGUGUUUGUUGUUUUGUUUUUAUUUUGUUUUAUUUUGUGAUUUGGUAUUAGAUGCCGCUCCAGCCAGCCAGAGAAUCCCCCGCCGCCCCGCCCUCUCCUCCCUGUGCUGCAAGCAGCAGGUGCACCUCGCAAACGGAGGGCGCCCUUACUCCCAGCAAAUGGGCGAUAGAAAACCGAUCAGUGCCUAUGCCAUUCCCGAUAUGCGCUGGCUGAUGUCGGGGCAGCAUGAGUACGAGCAAUUUUUUAUUUUUUUUUGCCGAUGCCCGUGAUGCCGCCCCCCACCACGAUGCCACCCCGGGAAACCGCCCGUGUCGCCCAUAUCAAAAACCGCUAUGGUGCGUCGCAAGGUGUUUCAUCAGAUUCGAGGUGUUACCUCCUUAAAUCACCUUAAAGCACCUGUUGCAGGCUGCUGAGUUUGCAUCCUUUGCUGUGAAGCCAGACUUUUGACCACUUUGCGUUGGGCAUUUUUAAUCUGUAGCUCUGCUCUAAAAGAACGUAGGUACCUGGGCCCGCCUACUAUCCUCGGAAAGGUAAAAUGAUUGGCUAGAAUCCAAAGUGUUUGACAUCUCAGGAAAGAAAAGCACCGAAAUGUGCGCUGCUUUUCGUUCUGGUUACUACCGUUUAUGUCAGAACCUACCCAUCCCUAUAUUUAAUUGCCAUUUUUAUAGUAAAAA
ensembl:lncRNA